AAAGGGUCUCGGUUGGCAGGAAAAAAUAAAAAAUUGAAACUCACUGGUGGCGGGGUUCUCCGGUGUAGCGGCUCCGCCGGCUCACAUUUGCGACUGAGUGUUUUACAUUGGUCAACCUGUAGAGAAAGAAACGGUGAUUACAAUGGUGGAAGAAUUACGUGGAAUGGGAAUCAAAAAGGGUUUCAUCAGAGACAGUUUUUGU
rnacentral:lncRNA from 1 species